CCUUGAAGGCCAUUGAUUGGGUUUUGAUCAAUUUCAAAAUCUACCCAAACUAACCACUGAGAUUUAAAAAAAAAAUAAGCUUGUUCUUUGUCAAUUGCAUACACAGAUAAGAUGCAGUCUAAUUAUCUUUACUCCUACACUCUUAACUCCAGUCUAUCCCUGGCGACCCACUUCCUCCUUACUUGUCUUUGUCAUUCUCGAGUCUUUUUGUUUGGUUUUGUGACCCAGUAAAUGCAGCCAGGGCCAUUUGUGUGAGCACAGGCUUGGAAGAACUUGUUUAGCUCACGUACCAGUUGGACCACAACUGAAGACAGUGACUUCCUUGUCUUCCAGAUUCUACCAGUAGCCCACAGCUCAUUACUGCCACCCCAAAGAGUCCCUUCCAAAUGUAUAAUUAACUGUUGAGAACCUUGGCCUUGUAUAGGCCGAGGGAAGAUUAUCACAGCUGUGUGAGUUCCUGCUUGCAAAGUCUGCAUCAUGCCUAGAAGAUGGUGUUUCCUCGCCAUUCUCUCUGUUUUCUGACUCUUAUGUUUCCCCCAGCCCCUCUUCUCCUGUGCUCCUCGCUUCACGGGAGGUGGUAUCCACAUCUUUGUUAGGGCUGAACCCUCAGUCAGUAGAGUGUCCACUUAGAAUAUUACAUUGAUUCUUUCUUUCUUUGAGAACAAUUAAAUGAAAUCAGAACUAAAUGACAUAUCCAAUGUUGAUCCUUGCUUCUAAAGUCUCAUCUUCACUUUCUUUUGCGACAUCUGUGAGGGCAGGUGUCCUUUUCCCACCAGAACAUGUGCAAGUAGCAAGGAAGCCUGUGGAAAGAACUGGUGCUUUCUGAAGGAGACAAGGACUGAGGGCCUCCUCAGCCAAGAGAAUCUUCCUCCCAAGUUCGCUAUCCGUGUCACUUUAAACAGCAUGCUGCUUUGUUAAGUUGCUGUCAGUGUUGCCCACCUCCCACCCCUCAGGGGUUAGAAAAGUUGAUUUUACGUAGUGCCAUGGUAAAGCCACAUUUCCAUGCAAUAGCUGGGUGAUUCCCCAAUUCACUGACAAAUGACUUGUAGCUUCAGAUGCCUCUGUGCAUCAGCGCUCAGAAAGGGAGGGGUCUAAGGAGCCCCUUUUUUGGAUGAACGAGAAAAGGUUGCCUGAAACAGAGUAGUAGAUGCCACGUGAUUGACUCCUCAGACUGGCAAAGUCCAAGUGCAAUGCUUAUGAGUUGUUCUGCUUCUUUCUUAUGCAGAAUUUCAUUUGUAUGAUCAGCACUGAUGCGAUUCCCAUUCAGCUUGUAUUUUUAAGUUGACUGAACCACUGCCUGAUGUUUUAUAUUUAAAUGUAUUUAAAGGAAAUAAACACUGUUACGCAACCCAC
rnacentral:lncRNA from 1 species